GCUGGAGUCCUUGAUGAGGAAGAAGGGAGUUCAACAGCAGGGUGCAUGUGUGUCUUCAGAAGUGUGCUUCUCCACGCACUACACCAGAUGUCACCUUGCAAGCACACCACGCAGAUGUAUGUGUGUUUGUUUGUUAUCUAUCAGGUAGAUGACAAGAAUGAUAUAAACACUUGAGGAUCAACAUAUCACUAAAACUCCCACCAUCUGCCUGCCAGCAGACAAAUAUAAACACACUCUUCUCUUGCUCUGCCAUUUCUUUAUCUUCCUGCAUUGCUCCACUUUUCUCUCUGUUCUCGCUCUCUGCAGUCCUGCCAUCCAUCAUCAUUAGGAGGCGAAUAGAUGACCUGUCUACACCUGCAACCACUCCGUCCCUUUACUCUCUGGAGAGGAGAGGAGAGGAGAGGAGAGGAGAGGAGAGGAGAGGAGAGGAGAGAGGUUGGGGAAGGUUGACGUUUCGGCCAUUUAGGAAACAGUGAAAUUUGUGUUGUCUAUUUAUUCUACUUCUCUAAAUCAUACACUAUUUAUAUGUGAAGACUAUACCAUCUCCCCUCUCUGUGAUAAUAACCGGUAACGCAAUAUAGCAAUAUACUAUAUUUUCUUGUGAAACAUCAUAGAUAAAUGUCUAAAUAUUACCAUUCUGAUACGUAACUAUGAAUGUGCCUUCUAUUAUAAGCAUUUAUACAACAAUUUCACACUUUGCACCAAUUAAACAGAUUGUUUCACUUUC